AGUCCUCAUGAAAGGAGCCCAAGAAGCACCCUCUACUGGUUCAUAUUUUAGGGCUUAGUAUAUGCUAUGUGCAUUAGAAGCAUUAGGAAUAGUCAGUCAUGGUUUUGAGUCUUUAUUAAUACUCAAUAACUGAUCUUUUAUUAUUUUUCUUUUACUAUUAAUGCAAUUAAUAUUUUUAUAUUUACUCCUUGCGUAUGGUGCAGUUUAUCUUUUACAAAUAUUAUAUAAAUGUUACUACAAAUUUAAACCUAUAUUACAGACACUUAUUAGAGUCUAAAAAUAUUGACAUUAUCAUCACUUACCUUUUUAUGGAAAUGAAAUAAACUUUUCAGUUAUCCAAUAUAUUAUUAUUAUUAUUAUUAUGGGGGGAUUAACCGAGGAGGGUAUCAGCGGUCUUGAUUUCCUAACAGGCUCUUGAUUUCCUAACAGGCUCGAACCAAUCGGGAUUUUAUGGUCUGGUUCCGUUCUUUAUGACUUCGGGGCAGUCCAGAGCCUUGUUUUCAGAGCCGCAAGGCGUCUUGUCAGCGACCGCCCAAGAACCAGCUCAACAAAGCAAAGCUCAAGAGGGAACUGUUUUAAAGACGAGCAUUGGCCGUUCGACGAAUUGCCUGACUGAAUUCAGGCGUUAAAUUCACGCUCACGGGUCCAGAAAGUUUCAAGAGGGCAGGGAAUAAUUGUUUGGCAAACUUCCUCAGAGCCCUAGGAUGGCGGAAGAGAAGAUGGUGUCUAGAGCUUCUUUGGUGCAACUGGAGAAGUCUGUAGCUGUUCCUGCCUCAUCACUGGUGACUGUUGGCCGGAGCUUGAGCUUGCCUCUUUCCUUUGGAGGAUAGAGUCUUUGAAUCGCGACCUUGUUUUGCACGUUUGCAUGGGGCACUGCCUACAGCUGCAUCCUCAUAGGUGCAUGUUAGGUUAAAUAUUGAUUCAGAAAUCCUUAAAUCCACAGUUGACUAUCAUCAAACAAUAAUAAGUCAAAUUCAUGGCCAUAUGAACAUCACAUUUUUAUCAGGCAUUUUGUAAUUGUUGUGGUCAAAUUAGGUGUCUGCUAACCCCUGGCUUUGGGUUAGGGUUCUGUGUUGUAUUUUUUAUCUUAAAGAAACUGUAUUAGACCGAGUAACUAUUUUCAAGAAUAGACUAGAUGACUAUGGAAAUGA